AGGAGCGCGUCUGAUGGCGGGACGUCCCUCUGCGCCGUGGCUGCAUGUGGACACAUCCUGAGGCUGCAUGCUGGAGGUGAACCGCACAAGUUCAGCUCAUGAAUCUUUUUCAUGCAUUCUUCUUACAGUUUCUGUUCCACAGAGAAACAGAGAGCCCCUCCCUCUGUGCUGAUGCUCUGUGCGGCUGCAGCUCUUACCGUGUCCGCCAUUUUCAACAUCGUCUUUAUCUGUGUUUUCUGCAUGAAGUGCAGAAGAAAACAUCCUGAAGGGUCACAGCAUCAGUCAGAGGUCACCGCUGACAGUCAGAAUCAGGACUCUCCCGCUGUUCAGUACGUCGCUCUGGACUUCAAACUGAGACGAC